AAAGUUUUGGGUGAUCAGCUCCUGGUACUGUCGACACUCCCGUCAAAGCUUUAGCUGAGUUACCAGACCUCAGCUUCUAAAGGAGCUGAAGGGGAUAAAACUUAUUUCAAGACUCAUAGUGCAUGGGAAAUGCAGUAAAGCGUUGUACGCUCAACUUUACAAUCCCACACAGAGAAAAGACAAUGUUUAAGCAAGGAAUGUGUCUAUAAAUAAGAAGGUCGAAGCAAAAUGUACCAUACUUACCUGGACGGGGUCGAUUGGCGAUCAAAAAGGUCCAUGGCCUAGGUCAGUGACAUCCAUUGCACUGAGGAUGGGUGCUGGCUUAAGGUCUCCCCAAGCGGGAGAUCCUACGUCAAAAUUUGUGGCAGAGGGGGCUGCGCAAGCCGCGGCCCCUGU